AUUGAACGCUGGCGGCAGGCCUAACACAUGCAAGUCGAGCGGAGCGGCGGACGGGUGAGUAAUGCCUAGGAAUCUGCCUGGUAGUGGGGGAUAACGUCCGGAAACGGGCGCUAAUACCGCAUACUAUCAGAUGAGCCUAGGUCGGAUUAGCUAGUUGGUGGGGUAAAGGCAUACCAAGACGACGAUCCGUAACUGGUCUGCGAGGAUGAUCAGUCACACUGGAACGGAGAAGCGGCCGAAAGUCCUACGGGAGGCAGCAGUGGGGAAUAUUGGACAAUGGACGAAAGCCUGAUCCAGCCAUGCUGCGUGUGUGAAGAAGGUCUUCGGAAUGUAAAGCACUUUAAGUUGGGAGGCGUUACCAACAGAAUAAGCACCGGCUAACUACGUGCCAUCAGCCGAGGUAAUAC
rnacentral:rRNA from 1 species